UUAUUUUAUUUAAAUCUAUAAAUUUACUUUUAUUUAUUAUCGGGGCACAUGUCCCCGUCAGAAUUAACGGUACUGCGUCUCGUCCUUGACGUCGCGGUACUCGCACGCGGUGAUGCGCAAGACCAAAACAACCGCGAAUCCUUAUUAUAGGAUAGUGUAAUGUUUGGGUCAGUGAACCUUUCCUUAUUCGGUCGACGAUUGUAAGCACGUAUACAUACACGUAGUGUAGUGCUGUGAGGUUGCGACCAUUGCACAAUCUAUUGGACAUUUGCUAGAAAUUUAUCAAGAUUAUUAUUUCUAUCGAUUCUCGAAUUUUCAACGGAUUUUCAUCAAUUAAUUAAAGAAAUGGAGAGAUCAUGGACUAUAGUAAGGUUUAUAGAUGAAGAUACAGUUGAAGCUGUCCCAUCUACCUGGAUUAUCAAUAAAAAAUGUUAUUGGCCAC